rnacentral:rRNA from 1 species
UACGGGGGGAGCAAGCGUUGUUCGGAUUUACUGGGCGUAAAGGGCGCGUAGGCGGCCACUGCAAGUCAGUUGUGAAAUCUCCGGGCUUAACCCGGAAAGGUCAACUGAUACUGUGCGACUAGAGUGCGGAAGGGGCAACUGGAAUUCUCGGUGUAGCGGUGAAAUGCGUAGAUAUCGAGAGGAACACCUGCGGCGAAGGCGGGUUGCUGGGCCGACACUGACGCUGAUGCGCGAAAGCCAGGGGAGCGAACGGG